rnacentral:rRNA from 1 species
AGAGUUUGAUUAUGGCUCAGGAUGAACGCUGGCGGCGUGCUUAACACAUGCAAGUCGAACGGAGUUAUAAGCGGAAGUCUCGGAUGGAAGCUUAUGAACUUAGUGGCGGACGGGUGAGUAACGCGUGGGUAACCUGCCUUACACAGGGGGAUAACAGCCGGAAACGGCUGCUAAUACCGCAUAAGCGCACAGUGCUGCAUGGCACCGUGUGAAAAGAUUUUUAUCGGUGUAAGAUGGACCCGCGUCUGAUUAGCUAGUUGUGGGGUAACGGCCUACCAAGGCAACGAUCAGUAGCCGGCUUGAGAGAGUGAACGGCCACAUUGGGACUGAGACACGGCCCAAACUCCUACGGGAGGCAGCAGUGGGGAAUAUUGCACAAUGGGGGAAACCCUGAUGCAAGCGACGCCGCGUGAGUGAAGAAGUAUUUCGGUAUGUAAAGCUCUAUCAGCAGGGACGAAAAAAUGACGGUACCUGACUAAGAAGCCCCGGCUAACUACGUGCCAGCCGCAGC